UGGGGAAUUUUGGACAAUGGGGGCAACCCUGAUCCAGCAAUGCCGCGUGAGUGAAGAAGGCCUUCGGGUUGUAAAGCUCUUUUGUCAGGGAAGAAACGGUGAGUUCUAAUACAACUUGCUAAUGACGGUACCUGAAGAAUAAGCACCGGCUAACUACGUGCCAGCAGCCGCGGUAAUACGUAGGGUGCAAGCGUUAAUCGGAAUUACUGGGCGUAAAGCGUGCGCAGGCGGUUAUAUAAGUCAGAUGUGAAAUCCCCGGGCUCAACCUGGGAACUGCAUUUGAGACUGUAUGGCUAGAGUGUGUCAGAGGGGGGUAGAAUUCCACGUGUAGCAGUGAAAUGCGUAGAGAUGUGGAGGAAUACCUAUGGCGAAGGCAGCCCCCUGGGAUAACACUGACGCUCAUGCACGAAAGCGUGGGGAGCAGACA
rnacentral:rRNA from 1 species